GGAAAGAAGGGGAGUAAUAUACAAAUAUUUCAACUAUCCUUCUCAACAACCAUUCACUACCUAUAAUUUCCCUCAUUUUUGAUCAAUUCAUUUCCCCUACCAACGUGUAAUGGACUCGGUAAGCACCACAACCUCUCUGCUUCCAGAGAUAAGCCCGGAGGUCGCUGCCGGUGCUAACAAUUCCGAUUCAGACUCCGCCACCGCUAUUCUUGUACUAAGCACCGUUGUGGGCGUCGCAGGUGGGAUUUUCGUCGCCUGGGCAGCCAAGAAUUGUGGAUGAUCUUGGAUUAACAGUGGCAGAGGCGACGGCGAUGGAGACGGAGACGGUUGGAUCGCUCAAAUUGCAGAAGAGAGAAAGAAGGUUGAAUAGUGGGAAUUUGCAGUGUGGUGGCGAGGUUAACUUUCAAAUGAAGUAAAAAUUUACAUAACCUAAUUUUUUCAGUGCAAUGACCAUUAUACCCCGCCUUGUUAUUGUGAAAUAAAUUUGUGAUAGAUGGAAUUAAUUUCUCCUUUAAAUUCCAAAAUUACAUGUAUUAAUACUAGCCCUUGAUUUUCUUGAUCUUGUGGCUGUGAUUUGUUAUCUAGUUAUGUAGUUAAUGAGCACUUGCCCUAGAUCACUACUAUAUAUAUAUAUAUAUAUAUAUAGUAGUGAUAUGGGGCAGGUACCUUAAGUAUACAACUAGAGAACAAAUUUCAGCCACAAGAUCAAAAAAUUAAGGGCUAAGAUUACUUUUAGAAUUCUAGUAUUAUAUUCAGGUUUUGAUUCACUAUAUGAAUAAUUUAGUUCACUCGGGGGUAUAUUGGUCAUUUUGCUGAACUAAAAUGAGGUGGGUCUUCUCUUUCCCUAAUUUGAACAUUCCACUUCCGUCUGUCUCUUCUCUAAACCUCAUUUUCUCUUUGUCGAAUACAUAGGGUUCCACCACCGUGACCUCCAUUCUUCGUCAUGUUUCCUCCAUUCCAGCCGCCAUUUCCUCCAUUCCUCGUCGUCGCAUAGUUAGGGCUCAUCACCGUGCUUUCCUCCGUCAAUUUCCGGCGUUGUGUCCUCCAAUCCUCACCGCCUCACGAUCGCUGCGAUUGCGUUUUCUUCUAAUCUAGUUUGUAAAAUUUAAAUCUCUUAUAAGUUUCUGAUUUUUUGUUUCUUUGAGCAAUAGUUGGAGAAUCGGAAAAAAGUAACACUGCUUGUUUUUUUCUUAUUGAAAUGUGAGGUUUGAAAAUUCA